GACGAACGCUGGCGGCGUGCCUAAUACAUGCAAGUAGAACGCAGUUGCGAACGGGUGAGUAACACGUAUGUGACUGCCUCAUAGGAGGGGGUAACUAUUGGAAACGAUAGCUCAUACCGCAUACUGUGAGCUGGACCUGCGUUGGAUUAGCUAGGUGGGGAGGUAAAGGCCCACCAAGGCGACGAUACAUAGCCGACCUGAGAGGGUGGUCGGGCAACCUUGGAAUGAGAAACGGCCCAGACUCCUAAGGGAGGCAGGAGGAGGGAAUCUUUGGCAAUGGAGGGAAGUCUGGACGAGCACAGGCGCGUGAGUGAAGAAGGGUUUCCGGUCGUAAAGCUCUGUUGUGAGAGAAGCGGUAACUAACCAGAAAGGGACGGCUAACUACGUGCCAGCAGCCGCGGUAAUAC
rnacentral:rRNA from 1 species